rnacentral:rRNA from 1 species
UACGUAGGGUGCAAGCGUUAAUCGGAAUUACUGGGCGUAAAGCGUGCGCAGGCGGUUCUAUAAGACAGAUGUGAAAUCCCCGGGCUCAACCUGGGAACUGCAUUUGUGACUGUAGAGCUGGAGUACGGCAGAGGGGGAUGGAAUUCCGCGUGUAGCAGUGAAAUGCGUAGAUAUGCGGAGGAACACCUGAGGUGAAGACGGGUUGCUGGGCCGACACUGACGCUGAUAGCGCGAAAGCCAGGGGAGCAAACGGG